GCCAUAAAAGUUUAGGUCAAACAACCAGUCUUGUAAACUGGCAAAGGGGGUUUAACUCCUCCUUAUGGUU
rnacentral:tRNA from 1 species